AACGAACGCUGGCGGCAUGCCUAACACAUGCAAGUCGAACGAGACCUUCGGGUCUAGUGGCGCACGGGUGCGUAACGCGUGGGAACCUGCCCUUAGGUUCGGAAUAACUCCCCGAAAGGGGUGCUAAUACCGGUUAAUGUCUUCGGACCAAAGAUUUAUCGCCUUUGGAUGGGCCCGCGUUGGAUUAGCUAGUUGGUAGGGUAAAAGCCUACCAAGGCGACGAUCCAGAGCUGGUCUGAGAGGAUGAUCAGCCACACUGGGACUGAGACACGGCCCAGACUCCUACGGGAGGCAGCAGUGGGGAAUAUUGGACAAUGGGCGAAAGCCUGAUCCAGCAAUGCCGCGUGAGUGAUGAAGGCCUUAGGGUUGUAAAGCUCUUUUACACGGGAUGAUAAUGACAGUACCGGGAGAAUAAGCUCCGGCUAACUCCGUG
rnacentral:rRNA from 1 species